rnacentral:rRNA from 1 species
GAAAGAAUACCAAUUGCGAAGGCAGCUUUCUGGAUCAUUACUGACACUGAGGAACGAAAGCAUGGGUAGCGAAGAGGAUUAGAUACCCUCGUAGUCCAUGCCGUAAACGAUGUGUGUUAGACGUUGGAAAUUUAUUUUCAGUGUCGCAGCGAAAGCGAUAAACACACCGCCUGGGGAGUACGACCGCAAGGUUAAAACUCAAAUGAAUUGACGGGGACCCGCACAAGUAGUGGAGCAUGUGGUUUAAUUCGAAGAUACGCGCAGAACCUUACCAACACUUGACAUGUUCGUCGCGACUCUAAGAGAUUAGAGUUUUCGGUUCGGCCGGACGAAACACAGGUGCUGCAUGGCUGUCGUCAGCUCGUGUCGUGAGAUGUUGGGUUAAGUCCCGCAACGAGCGCAACCCUCACUUUUAGUUGCCAUCAUUAAGUUGGGCACUCUGAAAGAACUGCCAGUGAUAAGCUGGAGGAAGGUGGGGAUGACGUCAAGUCCUCAUGGCCCUUACGUGUUGGGCUACACACGUGCUACAAUGGUAUCUACAACAGGAAGCAAAACUGCGAAGUUAAGCAAAUCCUUAAAAGAUACCUCAGUUCGGAUUGCACUCUGCAACUCGAGUGCAUGAAGCUGGAAUUACUAGUAAUCGUGGAUCAGCGUGCCACGGUGAAUGCGUUCCCGGGUCUUGUACACACCGCCCGUCACACCAUGGGAGUUGGUUCUACCUAAGGCAAGG